GACGAACGCUGGCGGCGUGCUUAACACAUGCAAGUCGAACGGAAAGGCCCUGCUUUUGUGGGGUGCUCGAGUGGCGAACGGGUGAGUAACACGUGAGUAACCUGCCCUUGACUUUGUGAUAACUUCAGGAAACUGGGGCUAAUACCGGAUAGGAGCUCCUGCUGCAUGGUGGGGGUUGGAAAGUUUCGGCGGUUGGGGAUGGACUCGCGGCUUAUCAGCUUGUUGGUGGGGUAGUGGCUUACCAAGGCUUUGACGGGUAGCCGGCCUGAGAGGGUGACCGGCGACAUUGGGACUGAGAUACGGCACAGAAUCCUACGGGAGGCAGCAGUGGGGAAUAUUGCACAAUGGGCGGAAGCCUGAUGCAGCAACGCCGCGUGCGGGAUGACGGCCUUCGGGUUGUAAACCGCUUUCGCCUGUGACGAAGCGUGAGUGACGGUAAUGGGUAAAGAAGCACCGGCUAACUACGUG
rnacentral:rRNA from 1 species